GCACUUGGUUGGAAGCAAAUAUGAUAUAAGUUAAUUUUUGUAAUUAAUUUAAAAUAUUAUUUGCGACCAAAUCAUGUGCAU
rnacentral:pre_miRNA from 1 species